rnacentral:lncRNA from 1 species
AAAUGAGUGCUAAGAAAAUCCAUUCUCUUGAACUCGCUCGAGCCCAGAACGACUCCACUACUGAGCACACCGAGUACUACCUUCACCGAAUUCCGAGAAGCCGGGAGGUUCGGCAGUCCUGGCUCUCCUCCGUGUUCACUACCUUGUACUCCAUAUGGUUUUCCUUCCCACUGGUUCACCGAAUAAAGCCAGACUUGGUCCCCUUGAAAUAUCUGCGGUCUGCUCCGUGCAGAGAAGCAUGUGCUAUGGACUGAAUACGCACCAAUGGGCAGAGUUCCCCGGAGGCUGAUUUAUUGUCCCAGGCUCGAGGGCCAAGGAAAGUACCAGUCCCGCUGCCAUCACUUCCUGCACCCAGAGGGAGCCUGCUUCUGUUUCCAGACCCAGCUCUGUUUCAAAACUUCACUCCAUGGUGGCUGCCAGGAAAGGCUGAAUGGGGUUGGACAGCCAUGGAGGUGCUGUGUAAUGGACCAGGAACAUGUGUUCCUAUCUGUGUGUCUGCCCUGCUCCUUGGGAUCCUCGGGAUAAAGAAAGUGAUCAUUGUCUACGUUGAGAGCAUCUGCCGAGUGGAGACUUUGUCCCUGUCUGGGAAGAUUCUGUGGCACCUCUCUGAUUACUUCAUUGUUCAGUGGCCUACUCUUAAGGAGAAGUACCCCAAGUCUGUGUACCUGGGGCGAAUUGUUUGACAAAUGGCAACCCUAAGUCUUGAGAGUGUCGCAAUUACCGAUAAUAUCUACUAAUCUAUGCCCAAAGAAUUAUCAAUGGUAAAGAAUUUAAAAUGUACAAAUGACUCAAUGAAGAAAGACAAACUUGAGCAUAUAACGCGC